UUGUUCCCUUGAUAAGGAGACCAUACAUUCCAGAUAUUUGGUUGUUCGAAAGAUCUGCAAUCACCAUACGGUUUCACAUCUUUCACCUCAUCCCGUUUACCUUCAAAUCCAUUAGGCUUCACGUGUGCGCUAUUCAUCAUAUAAUCAGGUGGCAUCCACAGAACAGGAUAAGGACAAUUCUUGAACCCAAAAGGAACCAAGGACUCAUUGCUUUCAUUUUUCUUAUCCUGGUCCUGUUCUUCUAUUUUAAUGUUGCUCCCUCCUUUCGUAUAACAUGGAUGAUUUGGACAGCCACAGAAGUGAUGACCACUUCCCAUAUUCUUAUCAUAUUCGUACCGAGGCUGCUCCAUAGUAAAAUGGGGAGAAACAUAAUUAGCAGCAUACAUCACCGGAUAUGCUGGAUUGCUACAGUUGUUGUAGGGAGGCAGUGGAAGGUAGGGAUAAGGAGGACCGAAUGCACACUGGCUCGGGGAAUUGUUAUGGAUACAGCAACUGUGACACUGCGGUGGAUAAGGAUGCCCAUAGUUACCACCACAAGGCCAGGAUUCAUAAGCUACAGGAGAUCUAGCUGGAUCAAUGUUCAGAUG
rnacentral:lncRNA from 1 species